GGUGCCGUAGCUUAGCAGGUCUAAAGCGCCUGACUUUUAAUCAGGAUACCGUGGGUUCGACUCCCACCGGCACCA
rnacentral:tRNA from 1 species